GUCGUACGACGACCCUACGUAGGGUGGUGUACGCUAGCUUGUAGGCAGCUAGAGCCUAUCGCAUUUGUCCAUCUCUUUUUGUUCCCCAUCGGCAGUCACCUGUCGGCGCUUGUGAUCAUUAGUCUAAAUCCUAGCUUGAGACCUUGGUACGCGCCCAUAUUUUAACGGAAAUACUACUUGGUUGCCAUGUCAUGCACCCGUCACCCUGAAGUCAUCAGAUAGAGUGGAGGGUCUUCUACUGCACAAGAAAAUCAGGAACACGGUGAAAACAAACUUG
rnacentral:lncRNA from 1 species